rnacentral:rRNA from 1 species
GACGAACGCUGGCGGCGUGCCUAAUACAUGCAAGUCGAGCGAAUCACUGGGAGCUUGCUCCCGGUGGUUAGCGGCGGACGGGUGAGUAACACGUGGGCAACCUGCCUGUAAGACUGGGAUAACACCGGGAAACCGGUGCUAAUACCGGAUAAUCCUUUUCCUCUCAUGAGGAAAAGCUGAAAGUCGGUUUCGGCUGACACUUACAGAUGGGCCCACGGCGCAUUAGCUAGUUGGUGAGGUAACGGCUCACCAAGGCGACGAUGCGUAGCCGACCUGAGAGGGUGAUCGGCCACACUGGGACUGAGACACGGCCCAGACUCCUACGGGAGGCAGCAGUUGGGAAUCUUCCACAAUGGACGAAAGUCUGAUGGAGCAACGCCGCGUGAGCGAUGAAGGCCUUCGGGUCGUAAAGCUCUGUUGUUAGGGAAGAACAAGUACCGGAGUAACUGCCGGUACCUUGACGGUACCUAACCAGAAAGCCACGGCUAACUACGUGCCAGCAGCCGCAGUAACAC